GCUAGGAUGGCCGAGUGGUUAAGGCGUUGGACUUAAGAUCAAAUGGAUGUUUGUGUCCCGUGGGUUCGACCCCCACUCCCUUAACU
rnacentral:tRNA from 1 species